ACGGAAGGCAGCAGUGGGGAAUAUUGGGCAAUGGGCGAAAGCCUGACCCAGCAACGCCGCGUGAAGGAAGUAGGUCUUCGGAUUGUAAACUUCUUUUAUCAGGGACGAAGGAAGUGACGGUACCUGAUGAAUAAGCCACGGCUAACUACGUGCCAGCAGCCGCGGUAAUACGUAGGUGGCAAGCGUUAUCCGGAUUUACUGGGUGUAAAGGGCGCGUAGGCGGGGAUGCAAGUCAGAUGUGAAAUCUAUGGGCUUAACCCAUAAACUGCAUUUGAAACUGUAUCUCUUGAGUGCUGGAGAGGUAGACGGAAUUCCUUGUGUAGCGGUGAAAUGCGUAGAUAUAGGGGAGAACACCGGUGGCGAAAGCGGUCUACUGGACAGUAACUGACGCUGAGGCGCGAGAGCGUGGGGAGCAAACAGGAUUAGAUACCCUGGUA
rnacentral:rRNA from 1 species